GCCCAGGUAGCUCAGUUGGUAGAGCAGGGGACUGAAAAUCCCCGUGUCGGCGGUUCGAUUCCGUCCCUGGGCA
rnacentral:tRNA from 8 species